AGGACUGCUCAAGCAGAUCUUCCUUCCACAGCUUGAGGACCAGGGAAGCGUGCCCAGAGGAAGUCAUGGGUGAGCCAAGGUGGAUGACACCUGUAAACCCUGGAUGCCCAGCCAGAGUCCUCAGAAGCACCCUAGGUCUUCUUCCUUCUCCCUAGACUCUCCAGCGUGGUCCAGGCCGCAUCAUCUUGCCCUGAGACCAUCUCACUGCUAGUCUUCCCACCUCCAGCCUCGCCUCUCCAGGACUGUCCCCUCCCUCCCAUCCGCUCUUCCUUAAAAAAAAAAAAUCAUCCUCACAUUGUGGUGACAUUAAAUGUGAUUUGCACAAUUCUUUCACAAAUAUCAAAUUAAUAUGAUUUUCCUCUCUAAUCUCCUUGCACAACAUAUUGGAAAUUACAAUUAUUAUUAAAACAAAAAAUACAUACAUAUUUA